rnacentral:rRNA from 1 species
UGAGGAAUAUUGGUCAAUGGGCGGAAGCCUGAACCAGCCAAGUAGCGUGCAGGAAGACGGCCCUCCGGGUUGUAAACUGCUUUUAGUUGGGAAUAAAACGGGGCUCGUGAGCCCCCUUGCAUGUACCAUCAGAAAAAGGACCGGCUAAUUCCGUGCCAGCAGCCGCGGUAAUACGGAAGGUCCGGGCGUUAUCCGGAUUUAUUGGGUUUAAAGGGAGCGCAGGCGGACCUUUAAGUCAGCUGUGAAAUACGGCGGCUCAACCGUCGAACUGCAGUUGAUACUGGAGGUCUUGAGUGCACACAGGGAUGCUGGAAUUCAUGGUGUAGCGGUGAAAUGCUCAGAUAUCAUGAAGAACUCCGAUCGCGAAGGCAGGCAUCCGGGGUGCAACUGACGCUGAGGC